UGUUUUUUUUUUGUUUUUGUUUUUGUUUGUUUUUUGUUUUUGUUUUUGUGUUAGAAAAAGAGAUGUGAAGAU
rnacentral:ribozyme from 14 species